UCUGCAACUCGACUACAUGAAGCUGGAAUCGCUAGUAAUCGCAGAUCAGAAUGCUGCGGUGAAUACGUUCCCGGGUCUUGUACACACCGCCCGUCACACCAUGGGAGUCGGAAAUGCCCGAAGCCGGUGACCAAACCAAUAAGGAAGGAGCCGUCGAAGGCAGGUCUGAUAACUGGGGUGAAGUCGUAACAAGGUACC
rnacentral:rRNA from 1 species